rnacentral:rRNA from 1 species
AAUGAGAAAACCGGUGCAAGCACAAUAGAUGUGUGGGAGGAAAAACCCCCGCAUAAGUUGAAGGUGUGACGCGGACCGAAAAAGAGUAGGGAAGCUGUUAAGCAAGCCGUCAAGAAAAGCUGCUAUUGUUUCAUUAUGGCCCGUACCGUAAACCGACACAGGUGGAUGGGGAGAGAAUCCUAAGGCCGGCGGAAGAAGUAUUGUUAAGGAACUCGGCAAAAUGACCCCGUAACUUCGGGAGAAGGGGUGCCUGCGAGAGCAGGCCGCAGAGAAGAGGCCCAAGCAACUGUUUAGCAAAAACACAGGUCUAUGCAAAACCGAAAGGUGAGGUAUAUGGGCUGACGCCUGCCCGGUGCUGGAAGGUUAAGGGGAGUGGUCAGGAAACGAAGCCACGAACUUAAGCCCCAGUAAACGGCGGCCGUAACAAUAACGGUCCUAAGGUAGCGAAAUUCCUUGUCGGGUAAGUUCCGACCCGCACGAAAGGCGUAAUGAUUUGGGCGCUGUCUCGACAAUACAUCCGGUGAAAUUGAAGUGCCAGUGAAGAUGCUGGCUACCUGCGCCAGGACGGAAAGACCCCAUGGAGCUUUACUCCAGCUUGAUACUGGGACCCGGUAUUGCAUGUACAGGAUAGGUGGGAGGCUAGGAAAUGUGGACGCCAGUCUGCAUGGAGCCGCUGUUGGGAUACCACCCUUGUGGUGCUGGGUUUCUAACCAGAGGCCGUGAACCGGUCUGGGGACAAUGUCAGGUGGGGAGUUUGACUAGGGCGGUCGCCUCCGAAAGGGUAUCGGAGGCGCCCAAAGGUUCCCUCAGAAUGGUUGGAAACCAUUCGAAGAGUGCAAAGGCAGAAGGGAGCUUGACUGCGGCACCGACGGGUGGAGCAGGUACGAAAGUAGGGCUUAGUGAUCCGGUGGAAUUUAAGUGGGAAUGCCAUCGCUCAACGGAUAAAAGCUACCCUGGGAUAACAGGCUGAUCACUCCCAAGAGUUCACAUCGACGGAGUGGUUUGGCACCUUGAUGUCGGCUCAUCGCAUCCUGGGGCUGAAGUCGGUCCCAAGGGUUGGGCUGUUCGCCCAUUAAAGCGGUACGCGAGCUGGGUUCAGAACGUCGUGAGACAGUUCGGUCCCUAUCCGGCGUGGGCGUAGGAUAUCUGAGAGGAGCUGUCCUUAGUACGAGAGGACCGGGAUGGACUGACCUCUGGUGUACCGGUUGGCGAUCAACGCCACGGCCGGGUAGCCAUGUCGGGACGGGAUAAACGCUGAAGGCAUCUAAGCGUGAGGCCCCCCUCAAGAUGAGAUAUCCCAUCGUAAGAGUAAGACCCCUUGAAGACGACGAGGUUGAUAGGGCAGGGGUGGAAGUGCCGUAAGGCAUGGAGCUGACUGCUACUAAUCGGUCGAGGGCUUGACCUU